AAAUACCGCGCCAAAUGCGUGAGAAAAUAAAAUAAAAUAAAAAGAAACGGAAAUAUGGGUUUAAAAUAAACUUCUCUUAUAAAAAUAGAUCCAAAAUCUUACAACUUUAUAAUAAAUAAAGCUCUAUCACUCUCAUCUAGUUCAGCCUCAACUGGUUUAGUCCUUUUCUUGCCCACUAAUUCAUCUGAAAAAUUAAACUGGGUGAGAGGUGAGCAACUACAGCUCAGUAGGGACAUGAGACCUUACCACAAUAGAUUGAUAUAACUAAAUUAAGUGACAUGCAAUCACACAGCCAAAUAUCACAUUUAUAAUAAUAAUGCAUGAAUGAAUGCUCUUCAUCUACUCCUGUUAAUUCAUAUAACUGGACAAGCAUACCUGCACGUCCCAUACCAUGCUUAUACCACUUGGUCCUGAAUGCCCAUUUAUAUGAACUAACACUCAUUUCAAUCAUCCCAUAAUUCCCCUUUUGUUAGUCAUCUUGUCUAACUCCCUUUCGUCAGUCCCGAAUCACCCAACAAAAACCAUGUGCACUGUGAGAUCCCUGAGACCUGGUACCUACCAAGAGUUAGACUCAACUAUACAAAAGACUAUUUCCGUUACCCUAUUUUCCAUCAUUAUUUUCUCAAUCCAACAACUCUAACCAAUUACCAUGACAUGAUAUAAUUAUGUCUUUCACAUACGCCAUGUAUCUCACAACAAUGUAACAAUUUAAAACAUCACCAAUGUAUAUGAUAGGACCCGCCCUGGAAUUUCCCAGAAACCGAAGCGAACCCCGUCUUUGUUCCGACAUCUUCCUGAUGCCGGGCCCACUUACUAAGAAACCGAGACUUUCUACCAAAAUUUUGGCAGAGCCUCCCCUGUAAUUUAAGCAAACCCAACAAAAUAAUUCAACCUGCAACAUACAAAAAUAAAAAUCCCAACUAGUAGCAUGCUUU
rnacentral:lncRNA from 1 species